CGUGGCAGAUUUGGCGGUCGCGCAGCGUUGAGGUCGCUGUGGAAGAAUCCGCGGAAGUUCGAGUCUUCUCGACCCACCA
rnacentral:tRNA from 2 species